rnacentral:piRNA from 1 species
UGAAUGUGAAACUAGGAAAUAAAAUGUGCCC